UACAGAGGUCCCAAGCGUUGUUCGGAUUCACUGGGCGUAAAGGGUGCGCAGGUGGGUUUGCAAGUUCGAUGUGAAAGCCCCGGGCUUAACCCGGGAAUGGCAUUGGAUACUGCAGAUCUGGAGGAUCGGAGGGGGGACUGGAAUUCUUGGUGUAGCAGUGAAAUGCGUAGAUAUCAAGAGGAACACCAGUGGCGAAGGCGAGUCCCUGGACGAUACCUGACGCUGAGACGCGAAAGCGUGGGGAGCGAACAGG
rnacentral:rRNA from 1 species